GUUGUGGGUGAACCUGCGGGAGGAACAUUAACCGAAGUGCGGGUCCUUUUGGGCCCAACCUCCCAUCCGUGUCUAUUAUACCUUGUUGCUUCGGCGGGCCCGCCGCUUGUCGGCCGCCGGGGGGGCGCCUUUGCCCCCCGGGCCCGUGCCCGCCGGAGACCCCAACACGAACACUGUCUGAAAGCGUGCAGUCUGAGUUGAUUGAAUGCAAUCAGUUAAAACUUUCAACAAUGGAUCUCUUGGUUCCGGCAUCGAUGAAGAACGCAGCGAAAUGCGAUAACUAAUGUGAAUUGCAGAAUUCAGUGAAUCAUCGAGUCUUUGAACGCACAUUGCGCCCGCCUGGAUUCCGGGGGGCAUGCCUGUCCGAGCGUCAUUGCUGCCCUCAAGCCCGGCUUGUGUGUUGGGUCGCCGUCCCCCUCUCCGGGGGGACGGGCCCGAAAGGCAGCGGCGGCACCGCGUCCGAUCCUCGAGUGUAUGGGGCUUUGUCACAUGCUCUGUAGGAUUGGCCGGCGCCUGCCGACGUUUUCCAACCAUUUUUUCCAGGUUGACCUUCGGGAUCAAGGGGAAGGGAUCCCACGUAGG
rnacentral:rRNA from 1 species